rnacentral:rRNA from 1 species
CCUACGGGUGGCAGCAGUGAGGAAUAUUGGUCAAUGGACGAGAGUCUGAACCAGCCAAGUCGCGUGAAGGAUGACUGCCCUAUGGGUUGUAAACUUCUUUUAUAUGGGAAUAAAAUGUUCCGCGUGUGGGAUUUUGUAUGUACCAUAUGAAUAAAGAUCGCCUAACUCCGUUCCAGCAGCCGCGGUAAUACGGAGGGUCCGAUCGUUAUCCGGAUUUGUUGGGUUUAAAGUGAUCGUAGGUGGAUUGUUAAGUCAGUUGUGAAAGUUUACGGCUCAACCGGAAAAUUGCAGUUGAUACUGGCAGUCUUGAGUACAGUAGAGGUGGGCGGAAUUCGUGGUGUAGCGGUGAAAUGCUUAGAUAUCACGAAGAACUCCGAUUGCGAAGGCAGCUCACUGGACUGCAACUGACACUGAGGCGCGAAAGUGUGGGUAUCAAACAGGAUUAGAUACCCGAGUAGUC